CGACUCCACAUAGUUUUCAACUUUUCAGAUCUAUCUCCCUUCCUCUCCUCUCCACACACAGAAAGUCAAUAACAUACAGGCGCUAUAUAUUGUUUGGGUUGCUCCCCAUCGACGGCCACCUCAAGAACUGCUAAAUUAUCUUCCAUCCAGUGGGAGGCGGACAUCGAAGCCCUAAAGCCUCAAAUCCUUUCUUUCUCGCUCUCUCUACACUACUCUCUCUGUAGUUAAAUGGAGUUCAAGUUUCGAGCCGUCGAUGACCGACCGCCAAUAUGUCCCAACCCUCCUUCCAGCGUCAGCUACUUUACCGAGCACGCAUUCAGAGGCCCGGGACCAAUGCGAAAUCCGAGUGACGUUCGUGAAGCGAUCGAGUGGGAGCUCGAGAAGGACCGGAUUAGAGAAGAUAUAAUCGUCGCCGAUAUCACUCGGCGUCGAAUGCUCGAGGCGGAGGUGAGGACGGCGCUGAUGAUCGAGCGAGAGAUGGCAAUGCGGAGGCUUGCCUCCAUUGCCACGCCCGAGGGGUUGUUGUUCGAGGAGCGAUUCGCAAUGCGGUUUGACCCGAGGUUGCCGCCGCCGAUGCACCCAUUCGAAAGUUUCGCAGUUCCCGGUUACGGUGGUGCAUUCGAUACGUUUCCGAUGAUGCCGCGGUUACUGGAGGCAAUGCCGCUUGAUAUCAAGCCUCCCCGGGAGAUUAACAAGGAUAAGCUGAUCGUACUGGCUAAGCCCGACCCAAAUCUUUCUGGAACAAAGCGGAAAGCUGUGACACCACCUGCAGGGAGCACUAGUGAGCUCCCACCAUUUGGUUUGAAGAAGAGACCUAAGGAGGAGUGGAGUUGUGCCCUCUGUCAGGUCAGUGCCACAAGCGAGAGAGGUUUCAAUGAACACCUUCAAGGUAAGAAGCACAAGGCCAAAGAAGCACGGCUUAUAGCUCAGACAAUGGGAAAAAUUGCCAGCUCAACACCACUGCCAAAGGAAACUACAAAGCCUUCUAAGCUUACAGCUACCACUGAUAUCAGAAGCUCAGGACUGCAGGCAAGAGUAGGAGGGGAAUCACUUCACCAGAAUAAAACUGGGGAUGGUUCAGACCAGAAAAUGGAGAUUACAGAAGAUUUGAAGAAUGAUAAUGAGCAGGUUCUGCUGCAGAAAAACCAAAAUGCAGAAGAUUCUAAGACAAAUGGCAUGGCAACAGACCAGGGAGCUGAGAAAAUUACAGAAUUUAAGAGGAAGAAAUUUAAGUUUUGGUGUGAAAUGUGUCAAAUUGGCGCUUACUCUCAGGUGGUGAUGGAGGGUCAUAAAAAGGGGAAAAGGCACAGGUUGACGCUUCAGGAACUUGGUCAAAAAGAUGGAUUUAAUGUGACCACAUCUUUCAUGGCAGCACCUGCUAAUACUCAGAAGGAAGUAGAUACAGAUUUAGUGGCCAAAGAAUAAGUCAGAUGCUACUCAAAAUGCAGAAGGUGAAGAUGUAAUGGCCAAAGAAGCAAAUGAAAAGACAGCAGAAACUGUUAUUGCAGAUGAAGAAAAAUCAGUGAUUGUGAUGGAUUCUACAUAGCAACGGCUCUAGGCGGCCCUUUAAAUUCUUCCAUCAUUUCUUACAAUGUUCCUGAUUGAUGUGGAAAAAUUCUUUUUCCAUGCUUGAAAAUGAGUCUGGUACCAUCUGCUUAUGUGGAUGUCCCCAUGUUGUAUUUCAGUACUUAGAUUCUCUCAUGAUAGAAAGCAUAUUGAAUCAUCUUUUGCUGUCCUUGAGAGUGUAGCAUGCCUAGUGCAACAAGGCAAGCUUCUUAUUUGACAGGCUGAACUUAGAAGAGGUGUUCUGAAGUCUUCAGACCACUGGUCAAAGCCGCUUGUACUUGACUUUCAUGUGAAGGGGCUUCUUCUGAGGUAGAUAUGAUGCCGGUCCUUGUUCUAUAGCAACUCCUGUCCUGAUGAGAGUAAGCUCUAUUAACCUAUGUAUAUAUAUAUAUAUAUGCCCUUUUACUCUUUG